rnacentral:ncRNA from 1 species
GAGAGGACCUUUCCCCAGUACGAGAGGACCGGGAAGGACGCACCUCUGGUGUACCAGUUAUCGUGCCUACGGUAAACGUUGGGUAGCCUGCAAAGUAGAUAAUUUUCUCUUCUUCAAGAUU